rnacentral:rRNA from 1 species
AGCGGCGGACGGGUGAGUAACACGUGGGCAACCUGCCUCAUAGAGGGGAAUAGCCUUCCGAAAGGGAGAUUAAUACCGCAUAAGAUUGUAGUACCGCAUGGUACAGCAAUUAAAGGAGCAAUCCGCUAUGAGAUGAGCCUGCGGCGCAUUAGCUAGUUGGUAGGGUAAAGGCCUACCAAGGCGACGAUGCGUAGCCGACCUGAGAGGGUGAACGGCCACACUGGGACUGAGACACGGCCCAGACUCCUACGGGAGGCAGCAGUAGGGAAUCUUCGGCAAUGGGCGAAAGCCUGACCGAGCAACGCCGCGUGAGUGAUGAAGGCCUUCGGGUUGUAAAAUUCUGUUAUAAGGGAAGAACGACUUUAGUAGGAAAUGGCUAGAGUGUGACGGUACCUUAUGAGAAAGCCACGGCUAACUACGUGCCAGCAGCCGCGGUAAUACGUAGGUGGCGAGCGUUAUCCGGAAUUAUUGGGCGUAAAGAGCGCGCAGGUGGUUGAUUAAGUCUGAUGUGAAAGCCCACGGCUUAACCGUGGAGGGUCAUUGGAAACUGGUCGACUUGAGUGCAGAAGAGGGAAGUGGAAUUCCAUGUGUAGCGGUGAAAUGCGUAGAGAUAUGGAGGAACACCAGUGGCGAAGGCGGCUUCCUGGUCUGUAACUGACACUGAGGCGCGAAAGCGUGGGGAAGCAAACAGGGAUUUAGAU